rnacentral:rRNA from 1 species
UGGGGAAUAUUGCACAAUGGGCGCAAGCCUGAUGCAGCCAUGCCGCGUGUGUGAAGAAGGCCUUCGGGUUGUAAAGCACUUUCAGCGAGGAGGAAGGUGGUGAGCUUAAUACGCUCAUCAAUUGACGUUACUCGCAGAAGAAGCACCGGCUAACUCCGUGCCAGCAGCCGCGGUAAUACGGAGGGUGCAAGCGUUAAUCGGAAUUACUGGGCGUAAAGCGCACGCAGGCGGUUUGUUAAGUCAGAUGUGAAAUCCCCGGGCUCAACCUGGGAACUGCAUUUGAAACUGGCAAGCUAGAGUCUCGUAGAGGGGGGUAGAAUUCCAGGUGUAGCGGUGAAAUGCGUAGAGAUCUGGAGGAAUACCGGUGGCGAAGGCGGCCCCCUGGACGAAGACUGACACUCAGGUGCGAAAGCGUGGGGAGCAAAACAGGAUUAGAUACCCUGGUAGUCCACGCUGUAAAACGAUGUCGAUUUUGGAGGUUGUGCCCUUGAGGCGUGGCUUCCGGAGCUAACGCGUUAAAUCGACCGCCUGGGGAGUACGGCCGCAAGGUU